GGGAUUGUAGUUAAAUUGGUCAAAGCACCACCCUGUCAAGGCGGAAGCUGCGGGUUCGAGCCCCGUGAAUCCCG
rfam:Cajanus cajan chromosome 7, whole genome shotgun sequence.